UGGGGAAUAUUGGACAAUGGGCGAAAGCCUGAUCCAGCCAUGCCGCGUGUGUGAAGAAGGUCUUCGGAUUGUAAAGCACUUUAAGUUGGGAGGAAGGGCAGUAAGUUAAUACCUUGCUGCUUUGACGUUACCGACAGAAUAAGCACCGGCUAACUCUGUGCCAGCAGCCGCGGUAAUACAGAGGGUGCAAGCGUUAAUCGGAAUUACUGGGCGUAAAGCGCGCGUAGGUGGGUUGUUAAGUUGGAUGUGAAAGCCCCGGGCUCAACCUGGGAACUGCAUCCAAAACUGGCAAGCUAGAGUACGGUAGAGGGUGGUGGAAUUUCCUGUGUAGCGGUGAAAUGCGUAGAUAUAGGAAGGAACACCAGUGGCGAAGGCGACCACCUGGACUGAUACUGACACUGAGGUGCGAAAGCGUGGGGAGCAAACA
rnacentral:rRNA from 1 species